rnacentral:misc_RNA from 1 species
AAGACUAUAGACCUGCGGAGUACCUGCGGAAGGAUCAUUUAAUGAGUUUGACAACAGGACCUGAUGCUGGCUUUUUUCAAAAGCAUGUGCUCGGUUCUACUCUCAAUCCAUUUAACACCUGUGCACUUUCAAAGUGAUAGUCCCUAGCUAGCCAGAGAUGGCUUGGCUGGGAUUGCGCUUUGCCCCUCUUAUCACAAACCCCAAACUUUGUCUUGUAGAAUGUUACAUUAGCCUAUGGGC